UGCCAGCCGCCGCGGUAACACGGGGGGCGCAAGCGUUAUUCGGAAUUAUUGGGCGUAAAGGGCGCGCAGGCGGUCUGAUAUGUCUGACGUGAAAGCCCCGGGCUCACCCCGGGAAGUGCGCUGGAAACUAUCAGACUAGAGUCUCGGAGAGGGAGGUGGAAUUCCAGGUGUAGCGGUGAAAUGCGUAGAUAUCUGGAAGAACCCCGGUGGCGAAGGCGGCCUCCUGGACGAUGACUGACGCUGAGGCGCGAAAGCGUGGGGAGCAAACAGGAUUAGAUA
rnacentral:rRNA from 1 species